CAUUGCAAUAAGGGCGCUCUCAGGGGCUGUAGCGGUGUUUGUAGCUACAGUACGGGCUUAGCAACCCCGAGGUACCCGAGCUAGAGAGAGGCCCCAAUAGAUGAGAAGAUGAUUCUAAGAGAUACCGCAAACUGUAUUAAAACAAUGCAAGAGUAAUGUAAGACGAUGAUAAGAAGAAUGGAAAAGUAAGCAAUAGUGCAAUAACUUUGUAUAAUAAGUUACGCAUUUUAAAUAAAUGAAUGAUGAAUGAAUGCAAUAAGGGCCAAGGAAUAUAGCGAGCAAUAGCAAUGCCAACGUACUAUGGCAUUGCGUUAAGAGCGACGAGAAGCAACGUAGCAUAAGACAACGACAAUGGAAUUGCUCAAGGCAGUACGGUAUCGGAAUAGCGGUGUCAAUGGACAUUGGCAACGCACACAUCCAACGACGAAGACGAUGUUUAAGCCAGCGGAAGGGGAACGAACAACCACUGAUUCACACGUGAUUACACUAUGUAAACAUGCACAAUGUAUACUGGAUGUACGAUGGUAAUUGCAAUGGCAAUGACAACGCGAUAUGGAGAUAUGUUCCUUGGCAAUGGCAAUGUCAAUGGCAGCAGUAAACGUGGACUGUAGUUAAUGUGAUCACGAACGGGUGGUGUUACACAAAAGUACACAAUGAAAAUGUUACAAAGCGACAAUUAGGUUGUGUGGAACAACUUGGGAGAAAUAUAGAAACCAAUGCUGAUAGUUUGAAAAUAGUUUGGAUGUAUUUGGUAUUAAAUAAUAUGAACGCGUUUUAAUAAAAAUUUCAAAAAAUCACGAGGCUUGUAAUAUUUAUAGAAGUGGAAAAACAAGAAAAUAAUUCUUUCUGUUAGAUGAAAUAAAACCUAUCUAAAGUGAAAUUAAAGAAUGUCCUCAUUUUGCUAUCUGGAAAUGAUAAUCCUUGCCAGGAAAAUCAAAUAAAACCGGUGCAAGAUAGAGCUAAAGAAAGCCACCAGUAGUCUCGUUUUACUGUCUGAAGAUGAUAAUCCUUGUCAGAGUACUUUUUUAUCUAACGUUUUGCUACGUGUUGGCGAGUAAUGAAGAAGUAAUUCCUUUUUAGAAUAUAUAGUAAAUGUAUCCAAAGGGGAAUUAAAGAACUCCAUUGCUAUUCCCGUUUUACUGGAGUUGUUAAUCAUUGCCAGAGUACCUUUUUAUGUAACACUCUGCUACCGUUUUGGCAAUCACGGUGACACGUUAUGGCGCUUGCCGUAGGUCGUGGAACGCGUCGAUUCUAAGCUCGACUUCCGUAUUGGCAGUCGUUUAAACGACACCCGUUCUCGACAUUGUGGGACGGUUCGCUCAUUAUCCAUUGUAACCAUCUCAAUGUCACGGUUAAAUUCUACACUGACCGUGCGUCUGCAUAGCCAGUCAUAAUCAAUACUGUUGCCAGGAAGAAAACAGCAGUCUCACCGUGAGGCGUGAGAGAUAUAAUCUGAAAUGCAUUUAUCACCCUUCUAAAUUACUUUACAAAGUAAUUAGUUCACUUGAAUCUGCUUAAUGGGCGUUCGACGAUAAAGAACGAGAAACGGAGCACCACGGAUGACGGACCACCUUACAUUUUUGGGCAUGCGUUUCCGUUUCACUUGUUCUCUUUUAAGGGGUCCGUUUUCGAUCGUUCUGCAAGAUAUUCGAGAAUCUUAUAUCGAUUUUAACAGGUACAAGUAUUAAACUUGGUAUAUACGUGAAGUUUUUCGUUAAGAUAUCUUUAAAAGUGGCCAGGAUACGUGUACUGUAAAAUUACGCUUUGUUUUAAAUUAAAAUGUGUAAUUAAAUCUUGAAGAAAUCCGAAUUUUCCACUAAAUCUUAUAAUUUCUACACGUAACCGAAAACAGUAUUCUCAUUGGCCGAGAAUUUUAACUUCGGAGAUGGAUUGCAUCUGUAUACUACAGAGAGUUUAACGAGCGUGAUUAUAAUAUUUUGUAAUCAGGUAGGUGAGAAUAAUCUCAGUUUCUUUAUUUCUCUGCCCGAGGUUGGUAAUUUAAUAUUAAUUCAUAUUAUUAAAACCCUGGUAUUUGUUACAGCAGUCAGUUUAAAAAGAAAAUCAACAAGAGGAGAAACGGUGAUGGACUUGCUUCGUAAUGGCUAUAGUUUAGUUCAGGACAAUUGUGUAUUCCGUACGAGUAAAAAGAUGAAAAUUAGCCGCGCGUUCCAGGUGCUCGAUGAUUUUAUAAAUAAUUGAACGUCACGUUAUUGAACGUCACGUUUUACGACGAAACGAACGUUUUGAAAGGCUACACUUAAAGUAGCGGUGAUAUUUAAUUACCUGCCAUAACGAAAACUAAUUGCAAGUUGGCUCGGAAUCAUAUCCGUUCAAAGAAAAAGUGGAGGAUUAUGGUAUUUAUUUACAAGCAAAUCGACUUCGAUUUCCACGAUUUGGAGAUAAAAAAUUAUUCUCGAGACAUCGAUAAUAACGGUUAUGUACAAACAAGAAGCUACUGUUGCGUUAAAGUGGAUAUAAACUUUAUGAAUAUUUUAUUUAAAUAACAUAUUAAAAUGCAACGAUACGUAUUCAAUACAUAAUAAUUUGUUUGUGAUAACAUGUAAUUAGAAACGCUGGAUGUGUAAAGUAGGUCAAAUAGCCGCCAUCUUGUAGCAAAAUGAGCAUUUGCAUUUCAGAUACUACACUUAAGAAAUUAAAGGAAUUUUAAUAUCGAACAAAAUAUGUACGUUCGCAAAAUGUGUACUAAACUAAACAUUCAUGCAGAAUUAUAGACAAAAUUGUGCAAAUCAAUCGAAUAAAAAGAAAAAAAGCAUUUAAAAAACUUGAUAUCCGUUGUGCUUCGUAAAGAAACCUGGCGUUGCAUUCUUACAAUGCAAUUAUCGCGAGAACGGUAAUUAACGAUAAACUACAUUUGUCAUUCUUGACGAUACAUAAUAAACACGGCACGAUAAAUGACUGAAAUUGUUUUACUUGGGUUUAAUGUACGCUACAUAUGUAUUUAAGGUUCACAGUGCACUCGUUAAAUGUAGUCAUACGUACUAUAUAUAAUUCUCAAGGUUAAUCCGUUAUUGCGUAGCAAAAUAUGAAUAAUGUAUCGGCUUACUCAAAGACGGUACUUUAUGCAGGAUGUCCGAGUAAUUGCAAUACAAACGAGAAAGGGACGAUUCCGUUUGAGAAAAAAAAAUAAAUCUAAAAUUUAACGUAAAAUAUGAUUAUGUUAGAUAGCGACCACUCGCUAACCAGAGAAACAAUCUUAUUUGUAUAAAUAAUCACUCUAUUUUCGGUUGAACCACGAUUAUUAUUACAACACUCUGUAUAUCCAGUAACUUUAAGGACAUUUCUAGUUAGGCAAACCAUUAGUUAGGUAAUUAUUGAAUUUUUCUUAACGACAAGAUUAUGAAAUACAUACGUGAAGUCUUAUCGACAUAUGUAUUUAGUACGUUUAAGUGCAUCGCCUGGAGUUUGUUAAACAAAUAACUAUUAAAGUGUAUCAGUGUGGUUAUCGCUUCUGUUAGAAUAUCAAGUCGAUUGGCAAAUUACAAACGUCGUUUAAAGUUCUAACGACCGUUCCACUAGGCAAUAUAUGUAAUUCUGGAUACAUGA